GGAGAGGUGCCAGAGCGGCCGAAUGGGGCACCCUGCUAAGGUGUUGAUGGUUUCGGCCAUCCGUGGGUUCAAAUCCCACCCUCUCCGCCA
rnacentral:tRNA from 2 species